rnacentral:rRNA from 1 species
GACGAACGCUGGCGGCGUGCUUAACACAUGCAAGUCGAACGGAAAGGCCCUGCUUUUGUGGGGUGCCGGAGUGGGGAAGGGGGGAGUAACAGGUGAGUAACCUGCCCUUGACUUUGGGAUAACUUCAGGAAACUGGGGUUAAUACCGGAUAGGAGCCCCUGCUCCAUGGAGGGGGUUGGAAAGUUUCGGCGGUUGGGGAUGGACUCGCGGCUUACCAGCUUGUUGGUGGGGUAGUGGCUUACCAAGGCUUUGACGGGUAGCCGGCCUGAGAGGGUGACCGGCCACAUUGGGACUGAGAUACGGCCCAGACUCCUACGGGAGGCAGCAGUGGGGAAUAUUGCACAAUGGGCGGAAGCCUGAUGCAGCAACGCCGCGUGCGGGAUGACGGCCUUCGGGUUGUAAACCGCUUUCGCCUGUGACGAAGCGUGAGUGACGGUAAUGGGUAAAGAAGCACCGGCUAACUACGUG